rnacentral:rRNA from 1 species
UACAGAGGGUGCAAGCGUUGUCCGGAAUCACUGGGCGUAAAGGGCGCGUAGGUGGCCUGAUAAGUAGGAGGUGAAAUCCUGGGGCUUAACCUCAGGGCUGCCUUCUAGACUGUCCGGCUCGAGCACAGUAGAGGCAGGUGGAAUUCCCGGUGUAGCGGUGGAAUGCGUAGAGAUCGGGAAGAACAUCGGUGGCGAAGGCGGCCUGCUGGGCUGUUGCUGACACUGAGACGCGACAGCGUGGGGAGCAAACAGG